rnacentral:rRNA from 1 species
AACUUAUGGCCUUUGUAGCACCUGGCUCAUCUUCUAGUAAGGUGAUGCUGGUGUGCUCGGGUCAUUCUUCUGGAAAGCGUUUCUGCCCUUCGCUGGGUUGGUUACGUGAUUCAGAUCACUUACUGUGAAAAAAUCAAAGUGUUCAAAGCAGGCUUUAAAGCUUGAAUGGUUCAGCAUGGAAUAAUAAGAUAGGACUUCGGUUUUAUUUUGUUGGCUAUAGAACCAAAGUAAUGGUUGAUAGGGAUAGUUGGGGGUGCUAGUAUUAUUUGGUCAGCGGUGAAAUGCGAGGACCCAAGUAAGACUAACUUAUGCGAAAGCAUU